UACAGAGGUGGCAAGCGUUGUUCGGAAUUACUGGGCGUAAAGGGCGCGUAGGCGGCCCUCUAAGUCCCGUGUGAAAGCCCCCGGCUCAACCGGGGAACUGCACGGGAAACUGGAAGGCUUGAGUUCGGGAGAGGGAAGCGGAAUUCCGGGUGUAGCGGUGAAAUGCGUAGAUAUCCGGAGGAACACCGGUGGCGAAGGCGGCUUCCUGGGCCGACACUGACGCUGAGGCGCGAAAGCUAGGGGAGCAAACGGG
rnacentral:rRNA from 1 species